UUUUAUGUUAUUUCUUCGAACAGGCAAAACAGUGAGGCCUAAUUCAGAAGCUAAGUUAAGUGAAUGCUUAUUCAGGGAUGGAGCUAGAACUAUGAGCCUGUCAGUGAUAGUGAGAACAGUUGAUGUUACUAAUCAUGUUUUGAUCUUUGUCAUUGUAGACGAAAUUUUCGUUUCUUUCGUAAUCUAAGGUUGAGAAGAAUUUACCUGAUUCAAUGAGGACUAAGAACGAACUCUGGAAUUCUCACCCAAUGACAGCAUUUGAGGAUAGUUCAACAUUGUGCAAAUGUCUUAAUUACAAAAAACUAAGCUUUCAAGUUUGGAAAGAUCUUGUAAAGAACCCAAGAAUACCUCCAAGGAUUGCAAUGCAAGCUCUUAUUUCCCAAAAAGCAAAAAUCCCAUCAAGUCUUUUUGCAAUUAAUGGAAGGCGCAUAAUGCAAGAAUAAUACCUGAUUAUGAGGCUCGGCUCCAGUCAUAACAGUUGGCAUCACAACAGUUGGCACAAUUUCAUCCCACCACGAACGACCAAAUGUCUGUGUUUUGUUCCAAAACAGGUCCAUAACCAUUUACAGUAGGAUCAUUCAUGAUUCCCAAAGAGUUGUUCACUUCAGGAGUUUCCUCCUCCAGGGGUUGUGUGGAGUCAUUUGUGUAUUUGCUAGGAAGAAUUUUCUCAUUGUAUGAAC